GGAAUAUUGGUCAAUGGGGGCAACCCUGAACCAGCCAUGCCGCGUGCAGGAAGACGGCCCUCGGGUUGUAAACUGCUUUUAUACGGGAAUAAAUCACGCUACGUGUAGGGUGUUGAAUGUACUGUAAGAAUAAGGAUCGGCUAACUCCGUGCCAGCAGCCGCGGUAAUACGGAGGAUCCAAGCGUUAUCCGGGUUUAUUGGGUUUAAAGGGUGCGUAGGCGGCCUAUUAAGUCAGGGGUGAAAGACGGUGGCUCAACCAUCGCAGUGCCCUUGAUACUGAUGGGCUUGAUUACACUUGAGGUAGGCGGAAUGUGACAAGUAGCGGUGAAAUGCAUAGAUAUGUCACAGAACACCAAUUGCGAAGGCAGCUUACUAAGGUGUUAAUGACGCUGAGGCACGAAAGCGUGGGGAUCAAACAGGAUUAGAUACCCUGGUAGUCCACGCCCUAAACGAUGAAUACUCGAUGUUAGCGAUAUACAGUUAGCGUCAAAGCGAAAGCGUUAAGUAUUCCACCUGGGGAGUACGCCCGCAAGGGUGAAACUCAAAGGAAUUGACGG
rnacentral:rRNA from 1 species